rnacentral:rRNA from 1 species
AUUGAACGCUGGCGGCAUGCCUUACACAUGCAAGUCGAACGGUAACAGGUCUUCGGAUGCUGACGAGUGGCGAACGGGUGAGUAAUACAUCGGAACGUGCCCAGACGUGGGGGAUAACGAGGCGAAAGCUUUGCUAAUACCGCAUACGAUCUAAGGAUGAAAGCAGGGGACCGCAAGGCCCUGCGCGUUUGGAGCGGCCGAUGGCAGAUUAGGUAGUUGGUGGGAUAAAAGCUUACCAAGCCGACGAUCUGUAGCUGGUCUGAGAGGACGACCAGCCACACUGGGACUGAGACACGGCCCAGACUCCUACGGGAGGCAGCAGUGGGGAAUUUUGGACAAUGGGCGAAAGCCUGAUCCAGCAAUGCCGCGUGCAGGAUGAAGGCCUUCGGGUUGUAAACUGCUUUUGUACGGAACGAAAAGGCUCUGGCUAAUACCUGGGGCACAUGACGGUACCGUAAGAAUAAGCACCGGCUAACUACGUG